GAUGAACGCUGGCGGCGUGCCUAAUACAUGCAAGUCGAGCGAACAGACGAGGAGCUUGCUCCUCUGACGUUAGCGGCGGACGGGUGAGUAACACGUGGAUAACCUACCUAUAAGACUGGGAUAACUUCGGGAAACCGGAGCUAAUACCGGAUAAUAUAUUGAACCGCAUGGUUCAAUAGUGAAAGACGGUUUUGCUGUCACUUAUAGAUGGAUCCGCGCCGCAUUAGCUAGUUGGUAAGGUAACGGCUUACCAAGGCAACGAUGCGUAGCCGACCUGAGAGGGUGAUCGGCCACACUGGAACUGAGACACGGUACAGAGUCAGACGGGAGGCAGAAGUAGGGAAGCUUCCGCAAUGGGCGAAAGAUUGACGGAGGAACGGCGCGUGAGUGAUGAAGGGCUUCGGAUCGUAAAACUCUGUUAGUAGGGAAGAACAAAUGUGUAGUAACUAUGCACGGCUUGACGGUAACUAAUCAGAAAGCCACGGCUAACUACGUG
rnacentral:rRNA from 1 species